rnacentral:rRNA from 1 species
AGGCAGCAGUGGGGAAUUUUGGACAAUGGGGGCAACCCUGAUCCAGCCAUGCCGCGUGAGUGAAGAAGGCCUUCGGGUUGUAAAGCUCUUUCGGCCGGGAAGAAAUCGUGCAGGUUAAUACCCUGUAUGGAUGACGGUACCGGAAUAAGAAGCACCGGCUAAAUACGUGCCAGCAGCCGCGGUAAUACGUAGGGUGCGAGCGUUAAUCGGAAUUACUGGGCGUAAAGCGUGCGCAGGCGGUUUUGUAAGACAGGCGUGAAAUCCCCGGGCUCAACCUGGGAACUGCGCUUGUGACUGCAAGACUAGAGUACGGCAGAGGGGGGUGGAAUUCCACGUGUAGCAGUGAAAUGCGUAGAGAUGUGGAGGAACACCAAUGGCGAAGGCAGCCCCCUGGGUCGAUACUGACGCUCAUGCACGAAAGCGUGGGGAGCAAACAGGAUUAGAUACCCUGGUAGUCCACGCCCUAAACGAUGUCAACUAGUUGUUGGUAGGGUAAAACCUAUUAGUAACGGAGCUAACGCGUGAAGUUGAC